GGACUACAAGGGUAUCUAAUCCUGUUUGAUCCCCACGCUUUCGUGCUUCAGCGUCAGUAGUACUUUAGUAAGCUGCCUACGCAAUCGGGGUUCUGUGUGAUAUCUAUGCAUUUCACCGCUACACCACACAUUCCGCCUACUUCAUGUACACUCAAGACCGACAGUUUCAACGGCAGUUUCCCGGUUAAGCCGGAAUAUUUCACCGCUGACUUAUCAGCCCGCCUACGCACCCUUUAAACCCAAUAAAUCCGGAUAACGCUCGGAUCCUCCGUAUUACCGCGGCUGCUGGCAC
rnacentral:rRNA from 1 species